CAAAAGUAAUUCGAUAAACCCCAAGUCAUUUGCUUUCCACAUGCCAUUUGUUAGUAUUCAUUGUAUAGCGUGCAAUGAAUUGCAAUAAUUAAAAUGUAACAGUUAGCUAGCCAACUAAACAAUAUCACAAUUAGCUUGCUAGCCAGCUACGUGACGUGUGCUUAUUUCUGAGAUAUUUACCCUCGUUUCGAAUAGAACAAUGUGGGAAAUCCACACGAAGAAUUUGGCUCGCGUACAAGUUUAUCCAAUACAAUUCCGAGCGUUUGUGGAAAAUGUGUCUAACUGUAAAAUGUUACUAUUAAGAGAACAUGAUUUAAUCGAUACAUAGAAAACUACGGAAGUAAGCCCGGUGGAACAACGUGAAUCCCGGACUGCUGACAAGCAACGGCCGCAUCAUACAUGGCGAGGAGUCGGAGAUCCUUUACAGUAAAUUCCACUUGUAAAGGCGAGGCAACAACCAUAUACAGUCAUUGGCAACAACACAUUUCAUUUUUACGGGAACGAGCAUGGCGUGCACCCGAGAGACCAGGGGACCCUAAAUUGGUGCCAGUCCAGCGAACUAUUUUCUUAUUGCAAGAAAUACAUUUGACUGCAAAGAUUUGGACGGCGAUACCCCCGCAGCACCUGAUUUCAAGGCCAGCUCGCCCCCGCGUCCACAUGUAUCGUGCGCAUGUACGCGAACAGGACUCCAAGGUGCAUUGCACGGGCGCUAGUGUUGUGGUACAGACGCUGAGAUAUAAUAAGAACUCCCACCCAUAUCCCCUGUAUUCUGAUCUAACGGUCUUAUCUGUUACUAUUUCAAUUAUGAUGUGUCUUGGAGGUCCUCUUAGGCCCAGCUUUUGUAUAUUCUAUUAAUAAUUAGCACUUUUCUUUCAAUACUUCCUACACAGUUGUUGGAAGGCGCCAUUUUACAUUCAGUUCGAAUGGGCACGUCUUCUCGCGAGUACUCGCUUGGAAAGUGUCACGAUGAAGGCAUGCAUGCUAGUAACAGAAAGGAUGCUUGUCUUUGAGGUUCAAUACAAUUAUUAAAUUAUAGGACUAUUAUAUUUUAUUAUAUUCAAAGAAUCAGGAAGUUGUGGGAUGGCAAUGAAAUAUUUAAUAUGAAUCACAUCUAUCUUUGUUUUUUCACUGUACAUUCUGAAACUUACCAAAUACCUUUCAAGGAUCGAAUACAACCCCUGUUUGAAAUGGCAAAACAAAAAAAAGUUAUUAUUAAAAAACAAACACAGGCUAAAAUAACAUUUUCUCAGUUGGCCUAUUGUUGGGAGAAAAAAAACAUUAAUAUAUUAAUUCCUAAUGUUUUCAUGUAAAAGUGAGUGUUAAACUGACUGUUACGUUUAAGAAAACGUCAUUUUGACUCUUGCACCCUGUUUUCUAAGUAAAGGUUAAUUUUGUUCAGAAGUUAAUAUUCAAGGUCCGUCUGAAUGUAUACACUUUUGUGUGUGUAUGUGCCUUUAAACAGGAAUACAACUGCCCCAGUCUGCCUUAAAGAGCCAGGCAUGUGCUGGUGAGGCUCUCCCCACAACAGGCUGCAUCUCUGCUCUCUUAAGGUGGACCAGAAGAGAUGUGUUGCAUGUGUCUAGUACCUUGCAGUAACAAUGGACGGGAAAGAGUUAAUUCCCACGGUCUCUCCUCUAGCCUCUUUGUGAUCUCAUGGAAGGCUGUCCAGUGGAUAUGAGGAUCACUCUCUUCCCCAGAACACUUCCUAUAUACCGCAUCUCAUCUAAUAAUAGGGUACACACACACUCACAACACCCCUCAAACAAAGGUAAAUUCAUUUGAGGUGUGUAUGAUGAGAGGUGGGAUCUGAUCCCAAGCUGUACAAUACAUGACAACCUGUUAUGACUUGUUGACAGCAUACACAACACAUGGCACUAUGUUACAAUUGUGUAAUGAAUGAGAGGCCCUCACAUAGACUAUUGCUGCUCCAAGUGCUUUAUUCUUGCACCCAAAUACACUACAUUUCGACUUCACAGAAGACUUUGUCCGGGGGAAAUUAUUACGAUUGGCCUAAACCUAUUUACAUAUUAUAGUAAUCCUCAUCACUUACUGUAUCAUGUUAGUUACAUGAAUGUGUUUUGUGUAUGUCACUGUAUAAAAAUGUAUCUUAAGUUC